CCAAUGCAUCCCAGUCAUCCCAGUGCCAUUCCAAUGCAUCCCAGCGCCAUUCCAAUGCAUCCCAGUGCCAUCCCAGUGCCAUUCCAAUGUCCUCCAGUGCAGCCUAGCGCAUCCCAGUGCCAUCCCAGUGCCACCCAGCUCCACCCCCGCCCUCCACGCCCCCGUCACCUUUCGUGUCCUCGUCCUCGAUGGUGGUGUUGGUGCUGUCGGACGACUCCUGCCAGCGGGAGGGCGGCGGUGCGGAG
rnacentral:lncRNA from 1 species